GUCUCAGUAGCGCAAUGGAUAGCACGUUGGUUUUAUAGUCCAAGGGUCAUGGGUUCGAAUCCCACCUGGGACG